UAGCCACCUCCUUUAUCAAUAGCCCCCACCAGACUGGCACGUUUGUUACAAUCAAUUAACCUAAUUAACAAAUUAUUAAUACCUGAAAUCCAUAGUUUACACUGGGGUUCACUCUUGGUGUUGUACAUUCUAUGGGUUCGGGCAGAUUUUUAAAUACAAGUAUCUACCAUUAUCGUAUCAUACAGAAUAGUUUCACUGGCCCAAAAACCCUCUGUGCUCCACCUGUUCAUCACCCCCACUCCUCAACCCCUGGUAACCACUGAUCUUUUUAGUCUCCAUAGUUUUGCCUUUGCCAGAAUGUCAUAUACAGUCAUUCGUCACUUAACAGCAAGAAUAUGUUCUCAGAAAUGUAUCGUUAGGUGAUUUCAUUGUUGUGCCAACAUCAUAGAGUGUACUUACACAAACCUAGGUAGUAUAGCCCACUACACACCUAGGCUGUAUGGUAUAGCCUAUUGCUCCUAGGCUACAAACCUGUAUAGCAUGUUACUGUAUUCAAUACUGUAGGCGACUGUAACACAAUGGUAAGUAUUUAUGUAUCUAAACGUAUCUAAACAUAAAAAAGUUAAUAGGUUGGCUGGGUGCGGUGGUUCACGCCUGUAAUCCCAGCACUUUGGGAGGCUGAGGCAGGCGGAUCAUGAGGUCAGGAGUUCGAGACUGGCCUGGCCAACAUGGUGAAACCCCAUCUCUCCUAAAAAUACAAAAAAUAGCUUGGCGUGUUGGCAGGUGUGCAACCCAGGGAGCCGGUCCUCACCAGACACUAAUCUGCUAGCACCUUGAUCUUGAAUUCCCCAGGCUCCACAACUGUAAGAAAUAAAUAUCUGUUGUUUACAACACCCAGUCUUCGGUAUUUUGUUAUAGCAGCCCAAAUUGACUAAGACAAGCACCUACCAUAUGUUGAUCUUAGAUAACAAGUCCUUAGAGGACAUUGAAUCUGUUUAGGUAAGUUUCUGCACAGAGUUGCACCCAUUACAGCACCUAAUUCCAUUAAUAAAUGCUUCCCCCGCCCCUCAUCUUCACUAUGACACUUAAAAACAAUUUCUGGCCAGGCGUGGUGGCUCACACCUG
rnacentral:lncRNA from 10 species